UAUUCCCAUUUUGGUUUGACAAAAUGGAAAUGCAUUCGUGUGAUGCAUUGGAUCUUAUCAUUUCAGUCACGAGGACAGGCUUUGAUAAAGCAAAUCCAGGAGCUUGCUGAGCAGAUUGAGCAGACGCAUUUGGAAUUGAAGACUUUCCGAGCUCUUCAGGAGCAUGAAUCAUUGGCCAUCCCGAAAAGGGUUGAGGCUUUGACUGAAGAUGUAAACCGUCAAGUGGAGAGAGAAAAGGCACUGCAGAAGCGCUAUGACGACCUGCUUCAACAGAAGGAACUUAUCGAAGAAGCCCUGCUGGACAUCAGAGCAUAGAGCUCUCAAAGGAGUCAGGCAUACAUCUGUCAUGGCCACCGCACCAGCAUUGUUACAACUAACCAACUUUAGUUGUAGUUUGCAGGCCUCUUGUGUAAGAUAAAGGUUCUUAAUAAACACGUUAGAACGUUAGUGUUCAUGCAUGUAAGCAUGCUCAUUAAACUGAAUGAAAGUACACAUAUUUUUUAUCCAACUUCUACAUAUUUUCAUCAAUUACACAUCCUUCUAACAGGCAUAAAAGUAUUGUAGAUAUUCAUCAGGGGCAUCAAAUUGGUUAAUAAAAUGUUGUAUUUUUUAUUCACACUG
rnacentral:lncRNA from 1 species